GACGAACGCUGGCGGCGUGCUUAACACAUGCAAGUCGAACGGAAAGGCCUGCUUUCCCUUGUGGAUUGCGGGUACUCGAGUGGCGAACGGGUGAGUAACACGUGAGUGAUCUGCCCCCAACUUGGGUAUAAGCCUGGGAAACUGGGUCUAAUUCCCGAUAGGACUGCAGGGUGGUGCCUGUGGUGGAAAACGAUUUUCUAGUGGUUGGGGAUGAGCUCGCGGCCUAUCAGCUUGUUGGUGGGGUAAUGGCCUACCAAGGCGGCGACGGGUAGCCGGCCUGAGAGGGUGGACGGCCACAUUGGGACUGAGAUACGGCCCAGACUCCGACGGGAGGCAGCAGUGGGGAAUAUUGCACAAUGGGCGGAAGCCUGAUGCAGCGACGUCGCGUGGGGGAUGACGGCCUUCGGGUGGUAAACUCCUUUCGACCGCGAGGAAGCCACCUGGUUGGAAGGGUGGUGACGGUAGUGGUAGAAGAAGCACCGGCUAACUACGUG
rnacentral:rRNA from 1 species